CAUUACCGAGUUUACAACUCCCAAACCCAAUGUGAACCAUACCAAACUGUUGCCUCGGCGGGGUCACGCCCCGGGUGCGUCGCAGCCCCGGAACCAGGCGCCCGCCGGAGGGACCAACCAAACUCUUUUCUGUAGUCCCCUCGCGGACGUUAUUUCUUACAGCUCUGAGCAAAAAUUCAAAAUGAAUCAAAACUUUCAACAACGGAUCUCUUGGUUCUGGCAUCGAUGAAGAACGCAGCGAAAUGCGAUAAGUAAUGUGAAUUGCAGAAUUCAGUGAAUCAUCGAAUCUUUGAACGCACAUUGCGCCCGCCAGUAUUCUGGCGGGCAUGCCUGUCCGAGCGUCAUUUCAACCCUCGAACCCCUCCGGGGGGUCGGCGUUGGGGACCUCGGGAGCCCCUAAGACGGGAUCCCGGCCCCGAAAUACAGUGGCGGUCUCGCCGCAGCCUCUCCUGCGCAGUAGUUUGCACAACUCGCACCGGGAGCGCGGCGCGUCCACGUCCGUAAAACACCCAACUUCUGAAAUGUUGACCUCGGAUCAGGUAGGAAUACCCG
rnacentral:misc_RNA from 1 species